UCCCUGGUGGCUGAGACGGUAAAGCGUCUGCCUGCAAUGAGGGAGACCUGGGUUCGAUUCCUGGGUCGGGAA
rfam:TPA: Bos taurus chromosome 11, whole genome shotgun sequence.